rnacentral:rRNA from 1 species
UACGUAGGGGCCGAGCGUUGUCCGGAGUUAUUGGGCGUAAAGCGCGCGCAGGCGGCCUCGCGCGCCCGACGUGAAAGCCCCCGGCUUAACCGGGGAGGGUCGUUGGGGACGGCGGGGCUUGAGGGCGGGAGAGGGUGGUGGAAUUCCCGGUGUAGUGGUGAAAUGCGUAGAGAUCGGGAGGAACACCCGUGGCGAAGGCGGCCACCUGGGCCGACCCUGACGCUGAGGCGCGAAGACGUGGGGAGCGAACGGG